GUUGCUGUUUUUUUAAGGCCAUGGAAACUUGGAAUUGAAUAUGCAAUAACAGAACUGUGCUGACUUUGAAUGGGAAUUAAUGUCAAAGAUGCCCCUGAAGUCCAAAGCUGGAAUUCAGAGGAAAGACUUCUACAGAACGUUUUGACCUCUAUCAGCAGCAGACUGCCUCGAAGACCUGCAGGACAAAGAAUGGCUUUGCUAACUGAGCCUACUAUAUGCUCCCAGAAAAAACUGUGCUGGGACAGAAGACAGCAGAAGAUACCUGUAAAGAUGAUUACGAAUGGCAAGGUGGCUGAAUCCUGGCACAGGAGAUAGGACAGCGUGACCCCAACGAGCUACCUGAUAGACAUGGCAAAACAAAAACAUCCUUGAUUUCUUCUUGCAUGUUUUGGAGGACAUGAGCGAGUAGUGCCUGAAAUAAAGAGUCCGUUUCAC
ensembl:lncRNA